UCCCUGGAGGUCCAGUGGUUAGGAUACUGUGCUUCCACUGCAGGGGGUGGAGGUUUGAUCCCUGACCAGGGAA
rnacentral:tRNA from 1 species